rnacentral:rRNA from 1 species
CCUACGGGGGGCUGCAGUGGGGAAUAUUGGACAAUGGGCGGAAGCCUGAUCCAGCAAUACCGCGUGUGUGAAGAAGGCCUGAGGGUUGUAAAGCACUUUCAAUAGGAAGGAAUACCUAUCCAUUAAUACUGGGUAGACUGACAUUACCUAUACAAGAAGCACCGGCUAACUCCGUGCCAGCAGCCGCGGUAAUACGGAGGGUGCAAGCGUUAAUCGGAAGCGCUCGGCGGAGAGCCGGUGUAGGAGAUGUGAAAGCCCCGGGCUUAACCUGGGAAUGGCAUUUGAUACUGGCGAGCUAGAGUUGAGUAGAGGGGAGUGGAAUUUCAGGUGUAGCGGUGAAAUGCGUAGAGAUCUGAAGGAACACCAGUGGCGAAGGCGACUCCCUGGACUCAAACUGACGCUGAGGUACGAAAGCGUGGGUAGCAAACAGGAUUAGAUACCCCAGUAGUC